rnacentral:tRNA from 1 species
UAUGUCUUAGUAUAUGAUGUAUAAAAACUUUUGAUGUUUUAGGUGCCAGCCUGAUUUUGGCAGACGUAG